GUGACACAAUGGCAGUGUGGAGCCAGUGUUGUGUUUUGAGUUACCAGUCUCAGUCUUGCAGCAGGUGUGAGACAAAAUGUCGCCCAGGGAAAACCAGCAUGGAUGAGUACCACACGUCAACCCUCACAGUCUGCUGGUAAUGCUGUAGAUGGAGUGACUACAGCAAUUAACGAGAGAUGUACUCAGUCCACACCGGAGUUAACGAACCUACAGCCUGGUGGAAGGUGGAUCUACAGACACAAGUACAGUCAGCAGAGGUUAACAUCUACUUCCGAACAGAUUAUAAGAAACGACGUAAUGGCCUCCAACUCUACACCUCAGGGACAAAUUCAUCUGACCCCAAAGAAGGAGAUAUAUGUGACACAGUUAGAGGACGUGCUGACGGUACAGACAUUCCUGAUGUCCUGAGUGUCACCUGUCCUGGGACCUGGCGCUACCUGACCGUAUACACAGAGAC